rnacentral:rRNA from 1 species
UACGUAGGGUGCAAGCGUUGUCCGGAAUUAUUGGGCGUAAAGACGCUCGUAGGCGGUCUGUCGCGUCUGCUGUGAAAACUCAGGGCUUAACCCUGAGCUUGCAGUGGGUACGGGCAGACUAGAGUGCGGUAGGGGAGACUGGAAUUCCUGGUGUAGCGGUGAAAUGCGCAGAUAUCAGGAGGAACACCGAUGGCGAAGGCAGGUCUCUGGGCGAUUAACUGAC